GGGGCUGAUUGGCUUUCGACAGGAGCAAAGAGACUUAAGUGCAUGUGAGCUGGUAAGCUCUAAAACUACCACAAAUAAAUAAACGCAAACAACGCAAAUUACGCUCCAGCUUACGCAAAAGUCGCGUAAGUUUAUCACACUUUUGGAGUCGGCUUAAGAACUUCUAAUCUAGCUAGAAUCUUUCAAGCUGUAAUCUUUGCUAGAUGCUCUUUUUGUCAUACCUUAGCAAAAAGAAAAGAAUAAGGUUGCUUGUGGGAUUUAUCUUGGGGUGUUGGAUAACCACGAAAAGAAAACAAUACCUACUAAACAUGUAGAUUCUUAAGAAGCUCAAGCUUUUGGACUGGGGUUCAACUCCCCACAGCUCCACCA
rnacentral:tmRNA from 22 species